rnacentral:rRNA from 1 species
GACGAACGCUGGCGGCGUGCUUAACACAUGCCAGUCGAACGAUGAAGAAAAGAAUCGAAGCUUCGGCAGAAAUUCAUUUCGGAUUAGUGGCAGACGGGUGAGUAACGCGUGAGCAACCUACCUCUUACAAAGGGAUAGCCUCGGGAAACCGGGAUUAAUACCAUAUAACAUUGCGACGAAGCAUUUCGAUGCAAUCAAAGCUACGGCGGUAAGAGAUGGGCUCGCGUCCCAUUAACCGGAUGGUGAGGUAACGGCUCACCAUAGUGACGAUGGGUAACCGGCCUGGGAGGGUGAACGGUCACACUGGAACUGAGGCACGGUCCAGACUCCUACGGGAGGCAGCAGUGGGGAAUAUUGCACAAUGGAGGGAACUCUGAUGCAGCGACGCCGCGUGAGUGAUGAAGGAAUUCGUUUCGUAAAACUCUGUUCUAUGGGAAGAAAAGGACUGUACCAUAGGAGAAAGCUCCGGCUAAAUACGUG